UACGUAGGGGGCAAGCGUUUGUCCGGAUUUAUUGGGCGUAAAGAGCGUGUAGGCGGCUAGGUAGGUCCGUUGUGAAAACUCGAGGCUCAACCUCGAGACGUCGAUGGAAACCAUCUAGCUAGAGUCCGGAAGAGGAGACUGGAAUUUACGGUGUAGCGGUGAGAUGCGUAGAUAUCGUAAGGAAGACCAGUGGCGAAGGCGGGUCUCUGGACAGUUCCUGACGCUGAGGCACGAAGGCCAGGGGAGCAAACGGG
rnacentral:rRNA from 1 species